CUCACGGAACCCUGAGCAUCCUCCUGUUGACUAAAUUUCCCCGGUGACGUCAGAGUGCACGUACAUCGUCCAUGUAAGUGAUGCUUCUGAAUGAAUGAGUGUCCCCUCCCACCUCCAAUACUAGUACUACGGGAUGUCUAUAAGAGCAGAUCGCCGGGACAGCCCGCUGAAUUGCAUGACAUGAGGAGUGAGGCGCAGGUGCCAGAAGCGAAAUUUAAAAAGAUCAAAAUCCGACAUAUAUUUUUUUUACAAGAAUGUAGUAGCAGUGCUGGCCAUGGGGGUAGGUAGGACAAUUCUUUGAUACACGAACACAUUCGCAGCCGGUAAAUUUUAAUGUGACAAUCUAGGAAAUGAUAAAACUGUUAUUUCUUUAUAGUUUUAUUCAAGUCGUAAAGUGUAGAAAUCUCCGCUGGAGUUGAGAAGACCAUGGGGGUCGCGGGGGGAGCUGGAAUCCAUCCCAGCCAAGAUCGGGCGAGAGACGGGGCCGUCAAUUGCAGGGCUGACACAUAUCCACACAUAUAUGCAUAUCUAUACACAUGUACAUAUGUAUAUAUACAUGCACAGGAAUAACUGAACUCUACGAGCCUGACUAUGAUUUCAGCACAUAGGUAUCAAUAAUUACAUGUAAGAGAUGUUAUGCUAAGGACAAUAUGUUUGAAUACAUUUUUAAAAAAGCUUUACAUAUGUGCUGUACAUUUGAGAAGGAAUAUUACAGGACCAAAUUCUGGAAGGAGGAAGACUCCUUGACAGAUAGGUGAAGGUUUUGGGUUUUGAAGUUAGAGCAGGGCAGCCAUCAGGGAAAGACUACAUGUAUAAUCCUAAUGAAAACCAAUCCCCUCCUCCCAGCAAAAGAGCAACGGGAAUUUCCUGAAACUGCCGUUAAUUCUGAUAUUCACUCCUCGUCCUAGGUGUCUUUUUUGUCAAAUUUCUAAGGAAAGCUUUUGGUUUGUGAUUUCCCCAUUCACAAAUAUGCAAGUUUAAGUACAAGCCAUGUCAUGUCUUAUUUCUGAUUAAUAAAUAGAUUAAUCAAUAAUAUAUGAGAGUUUGUGUCUUUUUCAGUAAUAACGAUUCAAACUUCAGGACCCAAUGUGCACGUGCUGGUUUAAGAACUGAUUUAAAUUGAUCAUCACAAACAUAUCAAACCUCGUCCUGAGGCUGUAGCUGCCAUCUUCUGGUAGAGGCUCCUUCCUGUAGAUGAGGGUCCAUUUUCUCUGCACUGUAAGAUCGUACUGAAGUCCUUUCCAGCAGCACAUAAGCUGGCUGUUCAGAGACCAAGACUGAAAACAUAAAGUUGGCACCGUUGCUGAUUAUAACAUUCAACUUGAGGUAGAAUUUCUAACACAAUCAUAUGGUAAUUGCUGAUGUGAAAAGUGAAAGAAAAA
ensembl:lncRNA